UACGGAGGGAGCUAGCGUUGUUCGGAUUUACUGGGCGUAAAGCGCACGUAGGCGGAUCGAUCAGUCAGGGGUGAAAUCCCAGGGCUCAACCCUGGAACUGCCUUUGAUACUGUCGAUCUGGAGUAUGGAAGAGGUGAGUGGAAUUCCGAGUGUAGAGGUGAAAUUCGUAGAUAUUCGGAGGAACACCAGUGGCGAAGGCGGCUCACUGGUCCAUUACUGACGCUGAGGUGCGAAAGCGUGGGGAGCAAACAGG
rnacentral:rRNA from 1 species